CAUAGAUGACCUUUCAGACUGCUGCUCUGUCGGGUGCCCUACAAGUUCCCUGCAUCUCCAGUUUCAAGUAGUCUGAAAGAAUUUCUUGCAGGUUCUCUUAGAAUACUCCUUGGACUUGCUGAAAGGUAACUUAAAGAAUUUUAGUUUUAAACCACAAUAAUUCACAAAGAAUCUUCAGCAUGAGAGAAGAAGCACAGCAGAAUUAUAAACAUAUGAUGGAAGUGAAAGCAAAACUAUUACAUUUGUGAGCAGUGCCAGGUGAGGAGCGGCAGGAAGAGCCCUGAAGAAUUCAGAAUAAUCUCAUCACGGUGAAGCAACGUCCC
rnacentral:lncRNA from 1 species